rnacentral:misc_RNA from 1 species
CUAGUAACCUGUUAAACCCUAAUAAACCGUUAUGACUAUUACUCUACAAGCUUCUCUUCUCUGUAAGCCUUCACUAUCUCCCACUUGCUAUUCUACUUCUAAACAACGCCUUCAAUGCUCUCGCCACCAUUACCAUUCUUCUCUUUCUCUUUCUAGUAAUAUCUCCUUGUUUACUUUUCUAAGUUUAAGAUUUCGUCUCC